CUUAUACUCCCUCCGUUCCAAAAUUCUUGUUUUAGAUUUGUCCAAAUACGGAUGUAUCAAGUCACGUUUUAGUAUUAGGUACAUCCGUAUCUAGAUAAAUCUAAGACAAGAAUUUUGGAACGGAGGGAGUAUUUA
rnacentral:pre_miRNA from 1 species